rnacentral:rRNA from 1 species
AGCAGCCGCGGUAAUUCCAGCUCCAAUAGCGUAUAUUAAAGUUGUUGCAGUUAAAAAGCUCGUAGUUGAAUUUCGGGAUUGGCGCAUCGGUCGUGCCUCACGGGGUAUGAACUGGUGCAGUCAAUUUCUCACCUUCUGGAGAACCGCGAUGUCCUUAAUUGGGUGCCGCGGGGAACCAGGACCUUUACUUUGAAAAAUUAGAGUGUUUAAAGCAGGCAUUUUUGCUUGAAUACAUUAGCAUGGAAUAAUAAAAUAGGACGGCAUGGUUCUAUUUUGUUGGUUUCUAGGACCACCGUAAUGAUUAAUAGGGAUAGUUGGGGGCAUUAGUAUUCAAUUGUCAGAGGUGAAAUUCUUGGAUUUAUUGAAGACUAACUACUGCGAAAGCAUUUGCCAAGGAUGUUUUCAUUAAUCAAGAACGAAAGUUAGGGGAUCGAAGACGAUCAGAUACCGUCGUAGUCUUAACCAUAAACUAUGCCGACUAGGAAUCAGACGAUGUUAAUUUUUAAUGUACUCGUUGGCU